rnacentral:rRNA from 1 species
GAUCCUGGCUCAGAACGAACGUUGGCGGUGUGGAUUAGGCAUGCAAGUCGCGCGCGAAACUUCGGACAAGUAAAGCGGCGGACGGGCGAGUAACGCGUAAUCAACCUACCUCUGAGAGGAAUAGCCACUGGAAACGGUGGGUAAUGCCAGAUGGUCCCCCGGGCCGGCAUCGGCCUGGGUAAACGGUGGCUUCGGCUGCUGCUCAGUGAGGGGAUUGCGUCCUAUCAGCUUGUGUGAGGUAACGGCUCACCAAGGCUAUGACGGGUAGCUGGUCUGAGAGGACGACCAGCCACUGGGACUGAGACACUGCCCAGACUCCUACGGGAGGCUGCAGUCGAGAAUCUUCCGCUGGGCGAAAGCCUGACGGAGCGACACCGCGUGCAGGACGAAGGCCCUCGGGUUGUAAAGCUGUCACGCACUAGGAACCCCAUGUCGUUAAUAGCGGCACGGUUGACUAACGCGAGAAAGUGGCGGCUAACUCUGUGCCAGCAGCCGCGGUAAGACAGAGGCCACGAACGUUGUUGAAUUACUGGGCAUAAAGCGCACGUAGGCGGCCAAGUCCGUCCGAUGUGAAAGCCCCCCUCAACCGGGGAACUGCAUAGGAUACAGCUUGGCUUGAGGAUGGUUGGGGUGAGUGGAUCCUGGUGGAGCGGUGAAAUGCGUAGAUAUCAGGAGGAACACCGGUGGCGAAAGCGGCACUGGACCAUUUCUGACGCUGAGGUGCGAAAGCUAGGGGAGCAAACGGGAUUAGAUACCGGUAGUCCUAGCCGUAAACGAUGGGCACUGGGUAGGGGGGAAGCCUAUGCUCUUCUCCCGAAGCAAAUGUAUUAAGUGCCCCGCCUGGGGAGUACGCUCGCAAGGGUAAAACUCAGGAAUUGACGGGGGCUCACACAAGCGGUGGAGCAUGUGGUUUAAUUCGAAGCAACGCGGAACCUUACCUGGGCUUGACAUCUAUGGAUUAACCUCCCGAAAGGGAGGCAACUGCUCCGGAGCCGGAACAUAGACAGGUGUUGCAUGGCUGUCGUCAGCUCGUGUCGUAGAUGUUGUUAAGUCCCGUAACGAGCGCAACCCUUGUCGCUAGUUGCCAGCGAGUAAUGUCGGGGUCUAGCGAGACCGCCGGUGUCAAACCGGAGGAAGGUGGGGACGACGUCAAGUCAUCAUCCCUUAUGCCCAGGGCGACACACGUGCUACAAUGGCGCGUACAAAGGGUUCCGAUACCGAGGUGGAGGCAAUCCCAUAAAGCGCGCCCCAGUUCGGAUUGAAGGCUGCAAUUCGCCCAUGAAGCCGGAAUCGCUAGUAAUCGCGUAUCAGCCAUGACGCGGUGAAUAUGUUCCUGCCUUGUACACACUGCCCGUCAAGCCACGAAAGCGGGGAGCGCUCGAAGUCGCUAUGUAACCGUAAGGAGGACGGCGCCGAAAGCGAGACUCGUGAUGGGACUAAGUC